CACACACACACACACACACACACACACACACACACACACACACACACACACACACACACACACACACACACACUUCUCAACUGGGCAGUACUGUGUGUCUGCAUCUUCACCAAAAUCGAAUCAAUUCGUCCUUGUCACACACAAACCUAUCCACCCAGUUUCAUCCGAAUACGUCCAUAACAUUUUGAGAUAUCCUGUCGCAGAUAAACAGACAAACAGUGGUGAAAAUAUAACCAAUGUCCACCUUUGGUGGCUGAGAUAAACAUACAUUACUCCUUGUUUUUUGUUUCCUAUGUGCUGAAAAUAUGAAUUCCAACAUUGAUAUGCAAUAAAUAAACAUGUGUUUUACAGGUUGUGUAACCUGACUAAUCCGAUCUCCAUCUUUUUUACAGAACUUUUCCACAUCCUGCACUCAUCUCAUCAUCAAGAAACCAGAUAAAAGUGAAAAAUUCCUUGCCGCUUGUGCAGCAGGUAACAACCAUUUUGGGCUUUGCUGAUAAUUGCAGCACAUGAUCUGGUUUUAAAAGAGGUUUUGAUUGAUUCAAAUGUUUUGCAAUUAUUUACUGAUAAGUUCAGAGAAGAACACCUGUGAUUGCUGCUCCUUCGUGGCAGUUUGGUGCUUUUCCCACAAUUUGUUGAUGAAUUUGCAAAAGUAGGGUAGGCCAGUUGACCUCUCCCAACAGGAUGUGACUAGGUUCACCUCACAUGCAGUGUUGAACCACACACAAACAGCUCCACAUGCCCCCUCCCCUUCCUUGGGGCAGUGCUGCAUGUACCAACACCAACCAGUGCCUGAUAGACGGGUUCGAAGGAGGGGGCGCAGACAGAAGACCUGCAGAGCCAAUGUGGAGUUCUGUACCCCAUUGGUGUCCUGAGUCCCUUGUACAUCCAUGCCCAACGGAGUGAGGUCGGACAUGUGUUGUUGGUGGGAAAUGGUUCAAGUACAGAAUGUCAAGGAAGGAAAGAACAUGAACUUGGAUAUGGGUUUUGCAAAAAGAUUACAUCCUGGAGAGUGCACAGAUUGGGCACUGGCUAAAUGAAGAGAACUUUGAAUGGUUAUGUGAGCCUGGAGGUGUCUCAGAAUCUGCAAGCCACCAUGAGGUGUCUCAUCUGUGGAGGAAGCAUAUUGCUACUCAAGGAGGCAGAGGUGCCUUCUUUGGCUGGAAAGUCGUGCUGGAACAGUUUGUGGAUGAGCAGCUCUACUGGAGACUUCUCAGGAUAUUACUGGCUGGACAAGCCAAGAUUUACCCCAAAAUUCCAUCAGACAAGGAUGUGACGUUUGUCAUUCGGAUGGACAAGCGUACCUUCUCUCCGUCUGUGGAAGGAUUGCCGUGUGUAACAGCCACAUACAUAGGAAAGCACUUAUUGAAGAUACAAGAGGAGUUGCAGACCGAAAGUAUUCCCUGUAAUCCAAUCAAGAAGUUUCGUCGCUGCAGGGAGGACAGUGAGGAACUGAACAAUGCGUCCAAUGUACUGCUGAACGAGCGUGUAGAAACGUUAAACAAUUUCAUUAGCAGCAAGCAGUUUAUGUGCAGUUUCUACCAUGGCUCUUACACAGUUGACUGCAGUUUCAGCGAGACAACAAUGUGUCAUCAGGUAAGGCAUUGAUUGAACUUUCUUUAUAAUCCCGUCUUCAAGUGCAUGCUGUUUAUUUUCAAAUCUGGUUUGCUGCAUGCAAUACCUUCUUUUUUCAAUCUUGUUUUUGCGGAUUCAGGUCCGAAAAAUGAGGCAGUCUGCAGUGAAAAGGGUACAAAACAAGAUUGAUUGUGAAUAUAUUACUCAGGCCUUGAGUGAUAUUCGCUCGAAUAUUUGUGUGAAAUUGCGUCCGGGGGGGGGGGGGGGGGGGGGGGGGGGGGGGGGGGGGGGGGGGGGGGGGGGGGGGGGGGGGGGGGGGGGGGGGGGGGG
ensembl:lincRNA